GCUCUGUUAGUGAAACGGUAUCAUGGAACCCUCCCAAGGUUUCGGCCCGGGUUCGACUCCCGGACAGUGCA
rfam:Allomyces macrogynus ATCC 38327 genomic scaffold supercont3.13, whole genome shotgun sequence.